UUAUAAAUAUAUCCCUAUAAAGUUUAACUUUCAUAAGUUAUUCCUCAUAAAGUCUUAAUAUUUUCAGAUAUGUCCCUCUAAUUUGUUACGGUUAAAGAACUAUUAGAAAACUGUUUAUAUUUUCAAUUUUGCUAUCACAAAUAUGUCCCUCCAAAAAUUAUAACAGUAUAAUAUAAGAGGGAUAAAAAUGUGAAAAAUUAAUUCGGAUAAAGUAUUUAACUAUGGUUAACUAAACUUUUCUAACGGAGGGACAUAUCUGAAAAUAUUAGAACUUUUAUAGAAAUAACUUAUACAAAUUUGAACUUUAUAGAGAUACAUCUGUAAUUCACUACGUUUGCGGGGACCUGUAUGCAAUUGGCCCUAAUGAUAAUAAUAAAAACGAGCAGUGGUUCAUGGUGACGUGAUGGACCAAUUUCACAGAACAAAUUUAUGCUCUUUUAUUAAAUUUUGAUAGAAUUGUUUAGUAAAUUAUAAAGUUUUUAAGGGUCUAUUUGCAAAAGAGUCCCUUCCCUUCUCUUUCUCUCCAUAUUUCUCUAGAGCUCUCUCUCUCUCUCUCUCUAAACUCUCUCUCUCUGGUAAACGCUCCCUCUCACAAAACCCUAAUAAUCGAUUUUUAAUCGCAUGUUUUUGCAUCUUUUGAUCCUUUUUUCCGCCAAUUUCCACUCAAUUUUACCCUUAUUUUCGCAGAAUCGAUCAAUCGGAACUAACUAAAACCCUCGUCGUUGAUCUCUUCUUCGACGCUUCUUAGCCCUAGGGAGAGGUGAGGUGUGCGCCAUGGCGCUUCGGCGGCUCCUUGGGAGGAGCUCGAGGAUCCCAAUCGUAUCUAGGGUUUUCGCAUCGUCCGCGGCGCCUUUCUCCGCGGCGGCGUCGCCGAGCGACACGAUCCGAGCCACCCUCUUCCCCGGCGAUGGAAUUGGGCCGGAGAUCGCCGAAUCGGUGAAGCAGGUUCGGAUUUUGAUCCUUUAUUGUCGAAUUUUAUACCUUUUCUUAUCCUUUUGUUCCCCCUUUUUAUACUUUGUUUUGAUGUAGAUUGUUUGAUCUAGAGCUUGCUUGCUUGUAUGAUAUAGGUAAAAAUGCGAGGAGGCCCCUCAACAAUAGGCCAUUAUGAAUAGGCCCCUUAAAAUGUUUUAGGUCGAGACCCCAGCAAAAUUUUAGUUGUUUUGAUUUAUGUGAUUCAGGAUUUGAUUAAAUACGAUGAUGAUUUUGUUAAGUUGAUGAUUUUACCAGUUUUAGCUAAUAGAAAUGUUGAUUUUGAUGCUUAAUGGCUAAUGAAGUCGUAGUUUUGACGAAAUUCCUAAUUCAAAUAAAGGAAUAUCUCAAAUCGAAAUAAUUAGGAGUUAAGAGGGUGCCGAUUGAACAAAAAUAUGUAGUUCGGGUUUUAUUUAAGAAUGGCCUAUAGUUGAGAGGGUCUAUGUACAAUUUUACCUAUUACGUAUGAAGUUGGUUAGCUUACUUUGAUUUCGUAUCCCUGAUUGUAUUAUAGAAACAUUUAGCAUUGCUUUUUGUGAUCAAUUUUAAUUGAAUUAGCUACCUCUAGUUCAAACAAAGGAAUCGGUUUGAUACAAUGCUAAAUUUAGAUUUUUAUUUUUUUCUAUGAAAAGAUUCUGUAUUGAGUGUACAAAUCAAGAGAAUAUGGCGCUCUUUAGAUAUUAAUUUGUUUAGCUGUAUUCUGAUUUCAAUUCUGUCCUUGGAUUUUCAUUUGUAACAAUUUAGUCCCAUAGUUCGAUUUGAUUUCAUUGUUGUCCUUUGACUCGCAAUUCAACAAAGUAAAGUUAAACUUUGAUUCCGACAUUGCACCUUCUUUUUGAUAGGUUACUAACAAGGGGACUUAGUUGUUAACUCGUCAUGCAAAACAACUUUGAGGACUUACUUUCUAUUCAAUCCUUUUACAUAUUAUUUGUGUUACUGUAGGUUUUUGGUGCAGCACAAGUGCCAAUAGAAUGGGAAGAACAUUAUGUGAGCGACAAAGUUGACCCCAGAACGGAGAGCUUUUUAACAUGGGAAAGUCUUGAAUCGGUGAGGAGAAAUGGCGUGGGCCUGAAGGGCCCCAUGGCUACACCUAUCGGAAAAGGGCACAGGUCCUUGAAUCUCACAUUAAGGAAAGAGCUCGGCCUUUAUGCCAAUGUUAGACCUUGCUCUAGCCUUCCUGGUUAUCGAACUCGGUAUGAUGAUGUGAAUCUCAUCACAAUCCGUGAGAAUACCGAAGGAGAGUAUAGCGGUCUCGAACACCAAGUAAGGAUUUCAAGAACUUUUAUUUUCAGCUGCUUUUCGUAUAAUCCCUUCAAAAUUACCUAUUUACAUUCACUCCUUUAAAGUACCAAUUUAUAUAUGUCCGUAUAAAGUGUAGCUUCUUAUAUUAAUGUUGUUAUCUUAGGUCUGGGAGUCAUUAAAUUCAAGUUCAUUUAGUAUUAGAAAAAAGUUCAGGUUUAAAAUGUACAAACUUGAACUAUAUCCCAUUUCAGAAUGGGUACUUGAAAGUUGAAACUACAAAAAUUUGUAUUUACUCCGUAACCUUCUGGUAUGCUUGAUUUAACUAGCUAUCCUCAAACCUUACGAUGUUUUUAACUUUUUUGGCAGAGUAUUCUGUAACCUAACCACCUUAUAUAUAUAUAUAUAUAGAGAGAGAGAGAGAGAGAGAGAGAGAGAGAGUCUGGCUACUAUACUUUUAUGAGUACGAUCGCCUUCGUACUCAUAAGUCGUUUUCGAUGAUAGAGCUUCCGAAUCGACGAUCCAUACCGUUAAACAUUUUGUAGAGCAUUUAAAACUUCUAGAAAUCAAAUUUCAUAAUUUUUCGACAUCAUUUACCUUACGAUCAAAAGCUCACAAAAUUGACAAUUUUUAACGGCCGGUAUGGAAUACUUGCUAGUUUAACGGUGCAAAAGAAUCUGAAUAGGUUGAAUUUUUGAUAGAAAAUUCUAUUCACUACCUAGAUAAANCUCUCUCUCUCUCUCUCUCUCUCUCUCUCUCUCUCUCUCUAUAUAUAUAUAUAUAUAUAUAUAUAUAUAUAUAUAUAUAUAUAUAUCCACCUCUAUCUCAUAUUCUCACCUUUGGGCGUAAAAUGGCCCCAGAAUUUAUCCGAUUUUUCAUUUUGGUACCCAAAGUUCCUUAUGUUUUCAAACAGGUCCCAAAAAUUUAGGACGAAUUACCCUACCGGUUCCUAAGCUUUUUCUUUCAAAAUAGUAGGUCUCCAGCUUCUUCUCCGAUAUAUGCACACAACUUAAUAAACCUAAUUUCACUAUAGACCUCAAUCUCAUUUUUCACUUCUGUAAUUGUCUCGACCUCACAUUAUGACCAACUGAACCCAGUCUCAUCUCAUGCCUUAAUUUUAUUUUCCACAUUUAUGACUGUCUCGAUCUCGUGUCGUGAAGAGCGAAGCCAAAUCCAACCACUAGCCUCCAUCUCAUCGUUCGCAUCUGUGACGGCAUCGACCUUGCAGAUGAUGUAUGUUGUCUUUUUUGGAGCAACUAACAUCUUCGACCUUGAGCCGAGUAAGCCAAGUUCUUUCUUAAACUUUAAACAGUGUCGAAACUAUGAUCUUUUUUUUUUUUUUUUUUUUAUGAUCUAUUUGGUCAAAAUUAAUAAGAAUAUAGAUAGUUACACCUAACUAAAAUAGCAUAACAAAAAACCUUUUGUUCUACAGUCACACAAAUAAAUAGCGAAUGGUAAGUAAUUUUAUCUGAAUUCUAGUUCGCCAAAAAGUCUACUCUAAUUUAAAUUUCACCUUUGGUGAAAUAAUCAUGCCCUGAAAUAGAAAAAAAAAAGAUACAGAAAAAAACUUAUCUAACCUAUAAAUCAGUUUGAGUCAAUUAUCCAACUUUUUAAAAUUUGAUUUUACUGCUUUAUAUUUUUAUUUGUUUGAUUUGUGAGUAAGCAAUUGUACAUCAAAAUUUAAGCUAAUUGCUUUAACAAAUUUGUAGUUGCGAAAAUUACAUGACCUAGGUUAACUAAGUCGAUGAAAAUAAACAGCACAUAUAAAUUUUAAGAUUAAAAUAUCAUUAAUUGACUCAAAUUAAAAAAAUAAAAAUUUUAAAAUUGAAUAGUUAACUAAAAAUGGUUCAUAGUUUAUGUAAAUUAUGCACAGGUUUACCAAAAAUAAUAAUAAUAAGGGUUAAUUGCAUACAGGUCCCCGCAAAUAUAAUGAAUUAUAAAUAUAUCCCUAUAAAGUUCAACUUUCAUAAGUUAUCCAUCUUAAAGCCUUAAUAUUUUCAGAUAUGUCCCUCUAAUUUGUUACGGUUAAAGAACUAUUAGAAAACUAUUUAUAUUUUCAAUUUUGCUAUCACAAAUAUGUCCCUCCAAAAAUUAUAACAGUAUAAUAUAAGAGGGAUAAAAAUAUCAAAAAUUAAUCCAGAUAAAGUAUUUAACUAUGGUUAACUAAACUUUUCUAACGGAGGGACAUAUCUGAAAAUAUUAGAACUUUUGUAGAAAUAACUUAUAAAAGUUUGAACUUUAUAGAGAUACAUCUGUAAUUCACUACGUUUGCGGGGACCUGUAUGCAAUUGGCCCUAAUGAUAAUAAUAAAAAC
rnacentral:lncRNA from 1 species